GGAGAUUUCCUACAAUAGAGCUGAACGUAGACAAACAGUUACUUAGAGCGUGCGGCAGAAAAAUCGCCACCUGCUGGUGAGCUGGUAAAGUACAGGCCGGUUUUCCCAGUUUUCACUCGGUGAUCGGUUCAAUUACAUGAACAGAAGCUCACAAUAUCACCAGUGACAUGCAGUGAGGGACACCCCCCGCCACCACCUGUACCUGUUUGGCAGAACAUAGCAGAUGCAGGACAAUCUGGAGCUCUGCAGAGACCAGACAGCUCUCCCUCUGGACAGUGGUCACUGCAUUGUCUCUGUACGCGUGAUUGGUGCUCGAGAUGCUGACGGUCAGAAGGCAGUCAGAAGACCGACAGCAGCAUCCCGAUGAUACUAUUUCCAGGAUAAAGAUCAGAGGCUUAAUGGAUACUAUACAGAAACAACGUGGCAAUUGACACUGUGUUGUCUAAGAGUAUAAAAUUGUUGCAAAUAACUGUUUUAAUAUAUGUCUAUCAAUAAAAUCUUUUAUACAAUCCUUUUAUACAA